AUUGAACGCUAGCGGGAUGCCUUACACAUGCAAGUCGAACGGCAGCACGGACUUCGGUCUGGUGGCGAGUGGCGAACGGGUGAGUAAUGUAUCGGAACGUGCCCAGUAGCGGGGGAUAACUACGCGAAAGCGUAGCUAAUACCGCAUACGCCCUACGGGGGAAAGCAGGGGAUCGCAAGACCUUGCACUAUUGGAGCGGCCGAUAUCGGAUUAGCUAGUUGGUGGGGUAACGGCUCACCAAGGCGACGAUCCGUAGCUGGUUUGAGAGGACGACCAGCCACACUGGGACUGAGACACGGCCCAG
rnacentral:rRNA from 1 species